UUUUUUUUUUUUUUUUUGGUCUUUUUGUCUUUUCUAGGCCUGCUCCUGCACAAAGACACACAUUUCUUACAUUGAAAUGGGUUUUUUGGGGGUUUUUUUGUUUGUUUGUUUUUUCAUUUUGUCUUCUUAGGGGCUGCACCUGCAGCAUAUGGAGGUUCCUAGGCUAGGGGUUGAAUCAGAGCUAUAGCUGCUGGCCUAAACCACAGCCACAGCAACAUGGGAUCCGAGCUGCGUCUGCAACCUACACCACAGCUCAUGGCAAGGCCAGAUCCUUAACCCACUGAGCAAGGCCAGGGAUCGAACCUGCAACCUCAUGGUUCCUAAUCGGAUUUGUUUCCACUGUGCCACAAUGGGAACUCCUGAAAUUUUCUUAAUGAAAAUCUGAAAUAUAUGAUUUUCUUCCUUCCUUCCUUUCUUUCUAAUGGCUGUACCCAUGGCAUGUCAAAGUUCCCAGGAGCAGCCAAAGAAAUGGCAAAAAGACAAAAAAAAGAAAAAGAAAAAGAAAAGAAAUUGGGGAUCAAAAAGUGACAAAGGUUUUGAUGUCAAGAUAUCCAAGUACAAUGGAGAAGCAGACAUAUAAACAAACACUCUCUAUGUGGUGUGAUAGCCACUAGAAGUAAUUUCAAGGUUUAGAGACAGCUCAGAAUGGGCAGUAAUCAAUGUGAGCAGUAAUUAAUUAAAUUAUGAGAAAAUCUUUGCAUAUGCUCAUGUGCGCCAAGAAAGAAAUGAUAAAGAGAAUAUUCUAGGCAGAAAAAGUAGUAUUUGCAAAGGGAAUGAGCAGGUCAGUCUAACUAGAGCAUUAAAUGCGUCAAGGGAGGUUUCCUUUGGAGCGAUGAGGCACAGAGCAAAGGUGAAGGAAGUCCUGGGUGAGGUCAGAUGUGGGAAGCAAGAAACAGUUUGAUGGUCAAGGUCAAGGAGGCCUGUGGGAAGCAAGAACUGGGCACAGAGCAAAGGUCUUCAGCAGAGAACAGACUAAUGCUCUGAGCAACAGUGUGCAGGAUAAUGGAGAAAAUUUUUUGUCCUAGUUUUGUGCAGGAGCUCAGCGCUGAGGAUAUAGGAAAGUGUCAGGAGUUGAAACAGCAGCUUGAGUGGAAUAAGGUGGCAGAUGGGAUCAUAUGUGACUUUUGUGCUGGGGCAAUAGAUGUACCAGUAGAAGUAAAGGAAUGCUCCUCAGACAUUUGGUCGAUAUUCUGUGGAUGGGGCGUAAAAGAUGGGUAAAUGUGGACUUGGAUACAUUUAAACAGCAUCCUCUAAACCAGUAUGGAAACACAUAAAAUGAAAUAGUAGAUAUUGGGAUUGUUAAGGGGGGCUGGGUCGAGAUAACUCAGCAUCCCAUCAGCUCCGCACACCCCGGUCUUUACGGAUUAACCACCCCCACCCCGUAAGAAGUCCGCUCUAAGGACUAUAAGGGCAAAAGAGUAAGAAAGUACUGCCUCUUGGAAUACGCUGGAAAGUCUUUUACUGACUAAAGAGGGAGAUGACAGCUUCUAGUCCUAAAUUUAUGUCACAUUGCUCUGCACUGCACAGAUUUCCUUUGACUAAUGGGAUAUGGUGCACACACGCCUAUACAGGGUUCUUGAAAACUCUUUUCUCAGUAUUGGCCAGGAUGUAAUGCUAUAGACAGUAGCUGAGAUCUGCCUAGACCACAGCACCGUGAGCUAAAUGACUCAUCACUUCCCACUAUCAAAAGACAUGUGAUACACUGCUCAUUAACUCAUAACCUAAGAGACUACCUUUCUUGCAAGUGGAGAAUCCAGUAUGACUUUGAUUAGGGUACAGAGAUCCAGUGCUGGAUGUGGGAGCAGGAGAUGUAGCAUUCGGGGCAGAAACAAAGGAAGUAAAAUCUCUGACUCAGGCAAUAGUGAACGUGGGGAGAAAGACACAGUCUGAGAUAUCAGAUUCAAGGGCGUGACCAGAGAGCAGGAAGCGGAUUAUAGCAGAAGAGGAGACCAGGAAGAGUCCCCAGACUAUGGAAUGCAGAGGAAGGAGGCUGUUAUGGAGACCUGUGGUCAGGUACCAGCACAACUCGAGAGUAUGCUGGGUGUUUGUUUUGCUUUUUAGGGCUGCACCUGUGGAAGUUCCCAGCCUAGGGGUCGAAUCGGAGCUACAGCUGCCGGCCUACGCCACAGCCACAGCCACAGCCACAUGGGGUCCAAGCUGCGUCUGUGACCUACACCAUAGCUCAGGGCAACCCCGGAUCCUUAACCCACUGAGUGAGGCCAGGGAUAGAACCCGAGUCCUCAUGAGUACUAGGCAGAUUCGUUUCUGCUGCGCCACAACGGGAACUCCAGAGAGUAUUUAAGAUGCUGUUGAUUGAAGGUUUUCACCACAUAUUUGAGGCUUGGAAAGCAAACUUAAGAAAAAAAAAAUCAUCUUAAAAGAUCUCAUUAGAAAGAUCCGAAGAAUGAUAUCAGAAACCUUUUAAUUUGUUUUGGGAAAAAACAGUACAAAGCAAAUUGUAGAUUUCUAUACAAAAUAGUUCUAAUUCCAGAGGAUAAUUUCACUGUCAACAAAUCUUUUUGUGGUCUUUAUAAAGUUUCAAGUUAAAAACCCUCCCAAACCCUUCUGGUGUGUAUGUAUAUAUAUACACACACUUAUAUCUGGCCAAGGUGGGCAAUAAGCUUGAAUCAAGAUUUAGGUUUCCAAAGUAGCAAAGCCAGAGACUUCCUUUGUGGCUGGCAACAUAACUACAAAGUAGCAAAGCCAAAUAGACAGUCUCCUUGCAGAAUUCUUUUUUUUUUUAAUUUUUUUAAAUUUUUUUAUUUUUUUUUGGCCGUGCCUGUGGCAUGUGGAAGUUCUCAGGCCAGGGAUGAACGCACCCCACAGCAGCAACCCAGGGUGCUGCAGUGACAAUGCCAGAUCCUUAACCUGCUAUGCCACACAAGUGAAUUCCAUCCUUGCAGAAUUCUCUUGUAAAAUGUUUCUUAUUUAUUUUUAAAGGGUUUGGGGGGAGCUUGGGGUGGGGGAGGCAAGGGGGAAAGGGAAUCCAAGUAUGCCCCAUUCAUCUAUAUGACACCAUAAUAACUUGUAGACAAGAUAAUUACUUGGUUCCUUUGACUGUAAGGUAACAAAUCAUGAUCAGUUUUGGUUUUGUGUGGAUGCACUCCUGAUGAAGGUAAGACAUUGAGGACCAGAGUGAAGGCAACUCAGUGUUGCCUUCAAUGUCUCAUUCAAGAAAAGGGAAGCAGGGAAAUUCUGAAUGUGUCUUCAUGAUGA
rnacentral:lncRNA from 1 species